rnacentral:lncRNA from 1 species
UCUUUAACUUCCUUUAUUUUCAUUGUAAAUAUUUUUUUAUAUAUCUUUAUCUCUGUUCAGAUGAAAAGGAUUUCUAAAAGGUGUCUGGCUUUAGAAUCUGGCCUGCAAAACAGAGCAGAGAUCUAUUGCGUUGAACCAUCAUUCCCAUGAUUCAUCAGAGCAUUAUAUCCAAGAGGAAGCAUGUUGCUCACUUUCAGGUUUAAUCCUUUAAAAUUAAAAUCCUUGCAAUUUAAGAAAUAUUUCAGUUAUAGAAGAGAUAAUCUCUACUGUAGCAGAAAUAUUCCAAGUGCUCAGAGUUAAGAAACUCGAUGCAGAAUCGACAAUUUGGUUAAAACUUCCUGCUAAGGUGGCUGUUAAUUUUGGAUAGGAGGUGCAACCAUAAAUCAUCAGGAAAAACAAUACUUUAAAAAAUCAAACUGCAUCAGCAAUUAUCAUUAGUUCUACUAUAUCUCUGAAUUAGUAACCAAGCCCAGUUCCCUUAGGCAGAUCAAUCAUACUGUUAACAGGUUCCCAUGACACCAUCCCAUAGUAACCAGUCCCUAUCCAUUAUGCACAAAAUGCCACUGACUCUUCCCUU